rnacentral:rRNA from 1 species
CCCUUAGAUGUCCGGGGCCGCACGCGCGCUACACUGAACAGUUCAACAAGUCUUAACCUUGGCCGAUAGGUCUGGGUAAUCUUUGAACGCUGUUCGUGAUUGGGAUAGACCUUUGCAAUUAUGGGUCUUCAACGAGGAAUUCCUAGUAAACGCAAGUCAUCAGCUUGCAUUGAUUACGUCCCUGCCCUUUGUACACACCGCCCGUCGCACCUACCGAUUGAAUGGUCCGGUGAAAUCUCGGGACGGCGGCUUGGUCGCUUGCGUCCGACUGCUGAAACUUGAUUAAACCAUAUCAUUUAGAGGAAGGUGAANUCGUANCA